AUACGGAGGAUCCGAGCGUUAUCCGGAUUUAUUGGGUUUAAAGGGAGCGUAGGCGGACGCUUAAGUCAGUUGUGAAAGUUUGGGGCUCAACCUUAAAAUUGCAGUUGAUACUGGUUUCCUUGAGUACGGUACAGGUGGGCGGAAUUCGUGGUGUAGCGGUGAAAUGCUUAGAUAUCACGAAGAACUCCGAUCGCGAAGGCAGCUCACCGGGCCGGAACUGACACUGAUGCUCGAAAGUGCGGGUAUCAAACAGGAUUAGAUACCCUGGUAGUCCGCACAGUAAACGAUGAAUACUCGCUGUUUGCGAUACACGGUAAGCGGCCAAGCGAAAGCGUUAAGUAUUCCACCUGGGGAGUACGCCGGCAACGGUGAAACUCAAAGGAAUUGGCGGGG
rnacentral:rRNA from 1 species